UUAAAUUGAAGAGUUUGAUCAUGGCUCAGAUUGAACGCUGGCGGCAGGCCUAACACAUGCAAGUCGAACGGUAACAGGAAGCAGCUUGCUGCUUUGCUGACGAGUGGCGGACGGGUGAGUAAUGUCUGGGAAACUGCCUGAUGGAGGGGGAUAACUACUGGAAACGGUGGCUAAUACCGCAUAACGUCGCAAGACCAAAGAGGGGGACCUUCGGGCCUCUUGCCAUCAGAUGUGCCCAGAUGGGAUUAGCUUGUUGGUGAGGUAACGGCUCACCAAGGCGACGAUCCCUAGCUGGUCUGAGAGGAUGACCAGCCACACUGGAACUGAGACACGGUCCAGACUCCUACGGGAGGCAGCAGUGGGGAAUAUUGCACAAUGGGCGCAAGCCUGAUGCAGCCAUGCCGCGUGUAUGAAGAAGGCCUUCGGGUUGUAAAGUACUUUCAGCGGGGAGGAAGGUGUUGUGGUUAAUAACCGCAGCAAUUGACGUUACCCGCAGAAGAAGCACCGGCUAACUCCGUGCCAGCAGCCGCGGUAAUACGGAGGGUGCAAGCGUUAAUCGGAAUUACUGGGCGUAAAGCGCACGCAGGCGGUCUGUCAAGUCGGAUGUGAAAUCCCCGGGCUCAACCUGGGAACUGCAUUCGAAACUGGCAGGCUUGAGUCUUGUAGAGGGGGGUAGAAUUCCAGGUGUAGCGGUGAAAUGCGUAGAGAUCUGGAGGAAUACCGGUGGCGAAGGCGGCCCCCUGGACAAAGACUGACGCUCAGGUGCGAAAGCGUGGGGAGCAAACAGGAUUAGAUACCCUGGUAGUCCACGCCGUAAACGAUGUCUACUUGGAGGUUGUGCCCUUGAGGCGUGGCUUCCGGAGCUAACGCGUUAAGUAGACCGCCUGGGGAGUACGGCCGCAAGGUUAAAACUCAAAUGAAUUGACGGGGGCCCGCACAAGCGGUGGAGCAUGUGGUUUAAUUCGAUGCAACGCGAAGAACCUUACCUGGUCUUGACAUCCACAGAACUUUCCAGAGAUGGAUUGGUGCCUUCGGGAACUGUGAGACAGGUGCUGCAUGGCUGUCGUCAGCUCGUGUUGUGAAAUGUUGGGUUAAGUCCCGCAACGAGCGCAACCCUUAUCCUUUGUUGCCAGCGAUUAGGUCGGGAACUCAAAGGAGACUGCCAGUGAUAAACUGGAGGAAGGUGGGGAUGACGUCAAGUCAUCAUGGCCCUUACGACCAGGGCUACACACGUGCUACAAUGGCGCAUACAAAGAGAAGCGACCUCGCGAGAGCAAGCGGACCUCAUAAAGUGCGUCGUAGUCCGGAUUGGAGUCUGCAACUCGACUCCAUGAAGUCGGAAUCGCUAGUAAUCGUGGAUCAGAAUGCCACGGUGAAUACGUUCCCGGGCCUUGUACACACCGCCCGUCACACCAUGGGAGUGGGUUGCAAAAGAAGUAGGUAGCUUAACCUUCGGGAGGGCGCUUACCACUUUGUGAUUCAUGACUGGGGUGAAGUCGUAACAAGGUAACCGUAGGGGAACCUGCGGUUGGAUCACCUCCUUACCU
rnacentral:rRNA from 5 species